UAGGGAAUUUUCCACAAUGGGGGCAACCCUGAUGGAGCAACGCCGCGUGCAGGAUGAAGGCCCUAGGGUUGUAAACUGCUUUUGUUAGUGAAGAUUUUGACGGUAACUAGCGAAUAAGGAUCGGCUAACUCCGUGCCAGCAGCCGCGGUCAUACGGGGGAUCCAAGCGUUAUCCGGAAUUACUGGGCGUAAAGAGUUGCGUAGGCGGUUAAGUAAGCAAAUAGUGAAAGCGUCCCGCUCAACGGGAUACACAUUAUUUGAACUGCUUUGACUAGAGGAUGAGAGAGGUAGCUGGAAUUCCCUGUGUAGGAGUGAAAUCCGUAGAUAUAGGGAGGAACACCGAUGGCGUAGGCAGGCUACUGGCUCAUUCCUGACGCUCAGGCACGAAAGCAUGGGGAGCGACCGGG
rnacentral:rRNA from 1 species